rnacentral:lncRNA from 1 species
CUGAAAUUGUGACCUAAAAUAGGAAUCUGGAGAUAGAUCUGAAACUGCAGACUUAAACCUCUGUUAUACCACCAGAAUUUGCCUUAAUUUGGAAUUAACAUUGCUAUUUGAAUCUCACAAUUUCUAUCUGCCUUUUUUUUUUUUUUUUGGAUAGUUGGUACUGGUGUUGCUAUGCAUAUUUUAAAAUGCAAAUCAAAAUCAAAUUUUAGGUAGAGGAAAUGCCAGCUCAGCACCUGUCUCCUAGUGCCAACUGCACAGAGCCCUGGGGAAAGGGCAAAGCGAAGACCCACUGGUCAUGCAGAGGAAUUAGAGCUGCAGAACAUAUGGUUUCUGUUUAUAUUACUUUCCUACAAAAUUGCAGAUUACUUUCAGAGGGUAAGUGAUGCAAAUAUUACAAAUUUUUGUCCCUCAGAGUCCCUAGAAUGGACAAGUUAUAAAAUGAAAACUUCCUAAAAAAUGGUAUAUUUGUAGAAGGAGAUACCGCAAUAGGAUAGAUUAUGGUUUCAAUCUGAAAUUUAAUCUUGGUUUUAAUCUGAAAAAUAAAAAAGGAAUCUUUCCUGCCCCAUAAAUCUGCCUGAAAUGCUGCUGUGAAGUCCUACUUAUCUUUAAGUUUUCCUUUUUCUAUAGCCUCAUUUGGAGCAUAUCUUCUCUGGGAAAUCAGUGGAGAACCACCAUAUGAACCUCCAGUGUUUAUGCAGUGCAUUUUAAGCUCGCUUAGACAUGGAUGAACCCAAUUGGGCACUAGGGACCCUUCAUGAAAGACAAAUGAAAAUGCUCAUGAAAUCCAUACAGAAUAGCUGAUGUACUUUUUUUUUUUUUCAUUUCACAGUUUAUUUACAUUAUCUUUUAUCCCAGUACUUGUCUCUGCACAUCAAGAGUUCCCAAGAUGGUACAGUGGGAAGCAUAAUUCCCACUUGUUUGGAUUGUUGAUUUCUUUAAAAAAAAUAUUUUUCUUUCCAGCACAUCAUGAGAGAAUCAGUCAGACUCCAAUGUGGUGUUCAAUGCAACGAUGCCCUCAUAUCGACGCUGAAUGUAUGCAGCUCUCAAAAUCCUUAAAAAACAGAAGUGCACUGUUCCAUUCUGGAGGAACAUUUUCUGUGACUGGGAAGUCUUGGCAUGUGGCCAUCUUCUGCUCUAUUUUGACUACAACUUCAGCAACAAAGUUUAACCAGGGAGAGACCUGUUUAGCAUCGGAACGAUUUUUGAGCAAAUACACGAUCCUCCAUCCUUGUGCUUUUGUUCUGCUCAGACACUGUGGGAAAGAACAAGGGAACGCUAUCAAGCUUUACUUUCUGAAGGUCUCAUCUGCAUGCUGUGGUUUGGUCACCUUCUGGCAGAUUCAACUUCUUGUAGACAAAGUAAAGAAGGUUUGAUCUCUCCAUCUCCUGCAAUCCUGUUUCUUUGGGCUAAAACUCCAACAUUCCAUGCAUUAUGAAAAAGGUGUGCCUCUGCCUAUAUCUUGCCUCCCUGUUGCUUUUUUUGUUUUUUUAACUUCACAAGUUAUCAGCUACAACCCCAACUUGUCAAUAAAAAUGCACUCAGUAAGCUGAAUCA